CCUACGGGAGGCUGCAGUGGGGAAUAUUGGACAAUGGGGGGAACCCUGAUCCAGCGACGCCGCGUGAGUGAAGAAGUAUUUCGGUAUGUAAAGCUCUAUCAGCAGGGAAGAAAAUGACGGUACCUGACUAAGAAGCCCCGGCUAACUACGUGCCAGCAGCCGCGGUAAUACGUAGGGGGCAAGCGUUAUCCGGAUUUACUGGGGGUAAAGGGAGCGUAGACGGUGCAGCAAGUCUGAUGUGAAAGGUUGGGGCCCAACCCCGGGACUGCAGUGGAAACUGGUGAACUGGAGUAGAGGAGAGGUAAGCGGAAUUCGUAGUGUAGCGGUGAAAUGCGUAGAUAUUAGGAAGAACACCAGUGGCGAAGGCAGCUUACUGGACUGUAACUGACGUUGAGGCUCGAAAGCGUGGGGAGCAAACAGGAUUAGAUACCCGAGUAGUC
rnacentral:rRNA from 1 species